rnacentral:rRNA from 1 species
CCCCUUUGAUUGAAUCAUGCUAUUCUUGAAGACUAAGCCAUGCAUGUGCCAAGUUCAUACGAUCAUAUCGUGAGACUGCGGACGGCUCAGUAUAUCAGUGAUUAUCUAUUUGAUUGUCUAACCUAUGGAUUACCGGGGGAAAUCUUAAGCUUAUUCCUGCCGUUUACGGGCAGGCUUGCUUGGGCGCGCCUUUAUUAGUAUUAACCUAUUACUGCUCCUGCGGGGCGGCGAACUCUAGAUGACUAUGCUGAUCGCAUGGCUGAUGCCAGUGACCUUUCGACUGCAGACUUCUGCCCUAUCAAUUCGGUGGUAUCGAAUUGGCUUACCAGGGUUGCAUCACGCUAACGGGGAAUCAGGGACUCGAUUACGGAGAGGGAGCUCGAGAAUCGGAUACCNCAUNCNAGGNACGNCAUACGCGGCGCAGAUUCCNNANGNAGACUNCCCGAUGUGGNNAAUAGAAGNACUANANGGNGGUANUUACUNCCAACNUGGAAUGGCGCNUGUAAUNAUNUCCAUGAGUACUACUGGAGGGCAACUACUGGUGCCANCACCUNGGCAUUCCAGCUCCAGAGGCNNGAUUUAAAGGNGCUGCGUUUAAAACGCUUCGUAGUUGGAUCAANCGGUGUCAGUUUGUAGUCUAGGGCUAGCAUUUGACUGUUUCAGUUGAUGCUAGCCAAAGAUUAAAACGCAAACUGUCACUAUUUAAUCGCAACCAUGUUAGUUGGCCUUUAAUGAGUUGAUUAUCAUGUUUUGCAGAGUUGUGCCUUGAAUAAAACAGAGUGCUCAAAGCAGGCGAACGCUUGAAUGUUGUAGCAUGGAACGAACAAACGUGUAUUCGCAUAUGUCGUGCGAAGUGGGUGUGCUUCUGGCGUGCCCACUUUGCUGACGUGUGCAUCACCCGCCAAAGUACGAUUGUUGGUUAUCGUAUUAGGUGAUGAUUAAAAGGAGCGGUUGGGGGCAUUGGUAUUUGGACGCGAGAGGUGAAAUUCAAAGACCGUCCAAGGACUAACAAAUGCGAAGGCAUCUGUCCAGACCGUAUCCAUUAAUCAAGAACGAAAGUGGGAGGUUCGAAGACGAUUAGAUACCGUCGUAGUUCCCACUGUAAACUAUGCCGACUAGGGAUCAGCUUGGUGAUAUUACAAGCACCAAGUUGGUCUCCAAGGGAAACCAUAAGUUUNUCGGUUACGGGGAUAUAUCGUACGCGAUUAUCUAUCGCCCGUCUGAAACUUAAAGGAAUUGACGGAAGGGCACCACCAGGACGGUCCUUGGACGAGAAGCCUUAACAUUUGCUAGUCCUUACCAGGCUUGAAAGGUUCUUUUUUAAAACCCGUUAAUGGGUGGGCAAUGGCCGUUCCUAGGGUCGUGGAGUGAUUCCGGUCAGGUUUUAUUCCGGUAACGGACCGAGGUUAGAACCUUUCAUUUUAAGGGGCAAAAACCAGGUUUCGCCGAUGGCUGGUCCCUGGGGGCUUUUCUUUCGGGGUCUUCUGAAAAGGAAGGAAUAUGCUGGUUAAUUCAGUUUGCCAGGGUUGAACGGGCCAACCGUAAAGUUCUGGCAAGCCGGGGUAAUAAUUGUAAUUUCUCUUUUAGGCAAACAAGUCCGAAGGGUACCCUUUGGGCUUAACUUAAUGAAGGGACUGCCUGGUGUUUCCAAAACCCAGAGGAAAGUGUGGCGAUAACAGGUCAAGUGAUGCCCUUUCGAUGUCCAUGGCUUGCACGCGCGUUUACAAUGAUAACGUCAAGAAAGUAUCUGUUUCGAGAAAAUAGGUAAUCUUUAAUCGUUAUCGUGAUGGGGAUUGACCGUUGUAAAUCGGUCAUGAAAUAGGAAUCCCGAGUAUAUGCUAUUUAUUAAAUAGUAUAGAUUUAGUCCCUGCCCUUUGUACACACCGCCCGUCGCUACUACCGAGUGAAUGGUGUCAUGAUGCGCUGGGACCGUACUUUGAAGAGGUGUCAAAACCUUUUCAAAGAUGGAAUCAGCGUAAAAGGCUCGAUUUCGAGGAAGUAAAAGUCGUAACAAGGUUUC